rnacentral:rRNA from 1 species
GACGAACGCUGGCGGCGUGCUUAACACAUGCAAGUCGAACGGAAAGGCCCUGCUUGCGGGGGGCGCGCGAGUGGCAAACGGGAGUGACACGCGGGAGUACCGUGCUGCACACUGGGGGAAGACUGGGGGACAGGGGGGCUAAUACGAGAGGAGAGAUCCUGCGGGAGGGGGGGGGUUGGAAAUUUUGGGCGGUGGGGGAUGGGCGGGCGGCUUAGCAGCUGGUGGGGGGGGUAGUGGCUUACCAAGGCUUUGACAGGUGGCCGGCCUGAGAGGGUGACCGGCCACAUUGGGACUGAGAUACGGCCCAGACGCCUCCGGGAGGCAGCAGUGGGGAAUAUUGCACAAUGGGCGGAAGCCUGAUGCAGCAACGCCGCGUGCGGGAUGACGGCCUUCGGGUUGUAAACCGCUUUCGCCUGUGACGAAGCGUGAGUGACGGUAAUGGGUAAAGAAGCACCGGCUAACUACGUG